rnacentral:rRNA from 1 species
AUUGAACGCUGGCGGCAUGCUUUACACAUGCAAGUCGAACGGUAACAGGGUGCUUGCACCGCUGACGAGUGGCGAACGGGUGAGUAAUGCGUCGGAACGUGCCGAGUAGUGGGGGAUAACGCAGCGAAAGUUGUGCUAAUACCGCAUACGUACUGAGGUAGAAAGUGGGGGACCUUCGGGCCUCACGCUAUUCGAGCGGCCGACGUCUGAUUAGCUAGUAGGUGAGGUAAAGGCUCACCUAGGCGACGAUCAGUAGCGGGUCUGAGAGGAUGAUCCGCCACACUGGGACUGAGACACGGCCCAGACUACUACGGGAGUCAGCAGUGGGGAAUUUUGGACAAUGGGCGAAAGCCUGAUCCAGCCAUGCCGCGUGUCUGAAGAAGGCCUUCGGGUUGUAAAGGACUUUUGUCAGGGAGGAAAUCCCUAGUGCUAAUAACACUGGGGGAUGACAGUACCUGAAGAAUAAGCACCGGCUAACUACGUGCCAGCCGCCGCAGUAA